AGCAGCGUGGCUCAGUGGAAAGAGCCUGGGCUUUGGAGUCAGAGGUCAUGGGUUCAAAUCCCAGCUCUGCCA
rnacentral:tRNA from 1 species